GGCCAAAUCAGGAAUGACCCCAGGCCCUCGACCUGCAGCAAGCCCAGGCCUAACCUCUAGCCCCCAAAUUCAACCCAACUCUGUCUCAACUCCUGUAGCUCCCAAGUUUGUACUCAACAGUCAGUGAAUCACUGUUACUUAGUCAUUUUUAGGUAUUUUAGAAAGUCAUUUUUAAGGGGCGGGGGGAAGGAGGGAGGAAAAAAGGGGUUUAAAAGAAAACAGUCAGCUUUCUGCAUUGGCCGGGAAUCGAACCCGGGCCUCCCGCGUGGCAGGCGAGAAUUCUACCACUGAACCACCAAUGCCUCAGCGGAGGCCCUUUUGAACUAGCUCGGUAGUCCUCUUCCGCCCCGCGCGGUUCCCCUCCCCUGCGCUCCGGAGCGGAGUUGCAGCCCCGUCGGGGGCCCGCACCAGCGAGGAGGUUCCCCGAGGGGCCGCGCUUGGCUGAGACCCGAAAGCCCGAGUUCCGUCCUGGCCCCCGCGGCGCCGGAAGCGGGGCACCCCGCCCUGCCGCGUGCCCCCUUCUCCCCUUUCUCCCAGGAAGGGCCUCCCACCCCUGGGAUCAGCGGUGUCCCGAGGCUCCCGGGCCGCCCACCCAGACUUCCUGAGGCCAGAAGGCAAGGCGGGGGCGGCCGGAAACCUCAUCCGCCGGCCUAUGGGCCUCGCGAUGAAGCAGCAGCUACAGCCUGGACUACGAGCUGCACAGGGAAGACGGCCCCUGCAGGUAGGUGGGUCCUGCAGGGCAGGCCUCUGGGCGCAGGGGAGGCUGGUGGCCUGACUCCCUCUGUCCUGUCUCCACAGCGGGUAUGAACACCAGGGGGUCCCUCCCCUCCUCCACCGUGUGCCUGUCAGGAUCCGGAGGGCCUACCUGGGCACGGGGGUCAAGGGCCGCUUCAGUCCCCACAGGGCCCCCAGGAAGAGCCAGCUGCCCCCCGAGAUAAAGCGUGAGUGAACGGGCACAGCCCUCACCAGCAGGGCUAGUGGGGAGCUGGGAGGCCCUUAGAAGGGAGCGUGGGCCUAGAGGUCCCAGCAGCAGUGCCCUCUGCCCCUGCCCCCCAGUCCAGACCGAGGAGCUGCACUGCCUCAGGGGCGAGCUGAGCCACAUCAAGGCCCAGGUGGACCGCCUGCUGGAGCACGUGGAACUCAUGGAACAGCGGAGGGACCAGCUUCCAGGUCAGGCCCCCAAGGCUGGGCCCAGGCCACACUCCACAGGCGCCAGGUUUUCCCACUGCUGAAGGUACCCGGGGUCCAGCCUCGGGCUCCCCUUGGCUGCAGGGCUCCUCCUCACCCUCCCCGGGUGCACUCCC
rnacentral:tRNA from 1 species